UACGUAGGGGGCAAGCGUUGUCCGGAAUCAUUGGGCGUAAAGCGCGUGUAGGCGGCUCGGUAAGUCUGCUGUGAAAGUCCAGGGCUCAACCCUGGGAUGCCGGUGGAUACUGUCGAGCUCGAGUCCGGAAGAGGCGAGUGGAAUUCCUGGUGUAGCGGUGAAAUGCGCAGAUAUCAGGAGGAACACCGAUUGCGAAGGCAGACUCGCUGGAACUUACUGCGCUGAGACGCGAAACGUGGGGAGCAACAGG
rnacentral:rRNA from 1 species